GCCAGCCGCCCUGGAGGACGUGGAGGGGAGGCAGCCACAGUCCUGGAGAGGCCUGGGCCUGAACAACAUGGCUUCCCCCAGGGUGAGAGUCGUUUGUCCUCCCACCGCCUGCUCUCUCCUGAUGACCAGGUUCCAGGAGUUAUCAAAGAACAGCCUCUGAGCUGCGUGGAGAAAGCCAUGGAGACAGCCAGAAGAAAACGGCAGGAUUAGAUUAACCUGUGAUUUCUGGCUGGCCACGAGGUCACCCAUGGCAUGGAGCUGCCCACAACGCCCUUCUCAGCGUGAAGCAUCCUGAAAGAUCCAGGGCCAGGUUCCCCAGGAAUGGGGAGUUGAAAUGCCUCUUAUUAAAUACCUGACUGACCACACCUUAUAGAGGCCUAACCUAGGUGAAAGACCACCUGUAACAUCACCUCCUAAAAUGAGAUACAACUGCCUAACUGGAUAAAACUCUUCUCGUGACUAAGAGACUUAUUCAAUAAG